UGGGUUAGGUGGGUGAGGAGAGAGUUGGAGUUUGUUGGCUGUGCUGUGAAGAAGAAGGGGUCAGUGCUGUGAGGAGCUGCAGGUGAGAGCAGCAGUUGCUUUGCUUUCCUCAGGGAGAUUGCAAGUUUGGCAGCUCUUAUGCCAGGAGAGAAGGAAAAAGCAAAGGGGGAAAGGUCUGCUCCCUAGGAGAUGCAGGCCACAGGAUCAGAGUCACAAGCAUCUUUAUCAAGCCCCAAACCCUUCAGGAGAGACAUCUGUCCUUGAUUGAAGGCUCUGAGGGGUAGAGUCCAGCAUUCACCUAAAUUUUCCCAAUGUUUAUCAUCUGAGGCAGAUAUUUGGAGUUCUAUUGUAAACAGGGAACUAAAAUGUGUCCUCUGUCAAGAAGAAAGAAAAAGCUUCUGACCAUAAUCACAAGGUCCCCCUCUCUGGCAGUCUCCAGACUUUACCUCAGUUUUCUCUUUGGGCAAGGCUACAAAAUUGUUUCCAGG